UUGGCUUCACAAAAUACCCAAUGGUAAAAAACAAUGACAAAAAUAAACAUACUCCUCCAACUGUGAGAAAUAGUAUGCCAAUCAAGUCAUUCUUCCCACCAAUCCAGGUAGCAGUUGACAACACCAGCUUCUUCUUCCCAUUAAAACUGUAGGUGUUGUACUGAUUUUGAAUCGUCACGUUGAUGAUAUCACCUUCAUUCAGAUCCACCUCUAUUCUUCCAUAUAGCUUCCUAAAUGUUGGCAGGGCAGCGGUUCUCGUCCAGACGAUAAGAUCCUCCUGCUCGCUCAACUGCUCAAUCAAAUAUUUCAUAGCUUAAGCAUCCAAAUACAAAGUCUUUAAAGGUUCAAAGGCUUAAUUAAAAUAAUUUACAAGUCUAGAAGGAUUUAAUCAAACCAUCACUAAUCAAUAGGUGCUUACCGGUAUGGAUGUAUUAAGACGAGCACCACCGAUUACCAAACUAUUCUGAAAGUUUUGGGGAAAAACAUCUUUUCUAAAUUUGUGCUCUAUGUUACCGGUAUGGUCUAUGAAGAAGGCUGAAGUGAAGCCUUGUCUUGGUUCUUUGUGAAUCUUGAUUUGUAGCAUGAUAUCAUCCUUAGAACAAAUGUUAAAUAAUGUGACUUUUGACCAUGAUUCCUUGAGGCUUAGCUUGCACAAUUGAGUCAACUGUCAUUUUGAGAUGCCUUGAACAUGAGAAGCACUUUGCAAAAAGAAUGAACCAAUUUGAAGCAUUAUAUCAAAAGUUAUGCCAUUUUGAAUUUCCAUGCACACUUUGUGAUCAAAUGACCAUAACUCCUCAACCAUUCAUCAUAUGGACAUGAAUUAGGACUUUUUGGAAAGGGGAGACAAAGAUCUACAACUUUCAUGUUCACCAAAAAUCCAUUUGAAACUUCUUUGAUAUUGAAAAGUCAAGUUGAAAGUGGAUUAAAAACUUGCCAAAUUUGGAAACUUUGAAUUAUAGGUCAUUUUCCAUUUUUAAUAACUUUUGCCAUGACCUUUGAAUCUUCAAGAUGGGUGUCUAGAAUGAUGAAUAGACCCCAUUUGAACAUGAUUGAGGUGUCUCAACUCAUUUCCCCACCUCAAAGCCCUCAGUUGACUACACAGUUGACUUUUGGUCCUCAAAUGACCUUGAAAUGUCUUGAUCAACUUGAGCCUCUACCACUUGGUAAAAUUGCUUCAAAAUGAAACCCUAGCUCAUGUAAACUCCUUAUAAUAGUCAUGUGAUCCUCAUCCCAAUAAAAUACCUCAUCUUUUUGAGAAACCCUAAUUGGAAGAACUGCAUUGAUUAGGGUUGACCAAGGGCCACAACCCUAAUCCAAAGGAACUUGAGGAUGAACUUUGAAACCUUGAUGAUGAUAGAACCAUGAUGAUGGUGAUAUAUCCUUGCAGAUAAGAUGAUUCUCAAGACCUUUGAAGAAUCAAGAAACCCUAAUUGGAGCCCAUACCCUCAGAUGGUUGAUGAUCAAUUCAUAGAGACCCUCAGACUUGAAUCACCUAACUUCCCUAUCUUUUGAAAAGACUUUGGAGGAUGACCUUCUCAUUUUCAUAUGAAAUGCAAAAUGCAAUGCCUAAUGCCCUAAAACAUCAAAUGCAAUGCCCCAAACUAGUCUCAAGAAGAGGAGGGCAAAUUUUGAGGUGUUACAGCUGCCCCUAUUCAAUCCACUAUGAACCUGUCGAUAUGAACAGCCUCGGCUUUCAGAUGAUCAGGGUAAAGAGUGGUUGAAUACCAAGAACAAACGAACAAUUUUCACUCCACUGGAAAUUUUCUCUUUGCUAUUUUUUUGCUUUUCUUGUCACAAGUGCUCAUGCCUCGUGAAUAACUAUGACGUUAAUUUAUAUUUGUGACAUGAUUUUCAUCUUUGUGGCGUGAAAAUCACGUUGCGAACAACUCUUUUUUUCUGUAGUGAUUGAAAAUAAAGUUAAAAAAGGGAGAAAAAACUAGAAGGUUGAGAGAGACUAAGAGGCAUUACACUUGAUGUUUCUUCUUGUAGGUGCCGAGUCAAUAGUUGCAGGAGUUGUUGUGCUUGAAGAAGCCGUUUCUUGAUGCAUUUCAAUCUUUUUGAUCUCAAUGAUGGAAGCUAAAAAAUGAGGAAAAAAGUAGAACAAAUCAGCAUAUAAUAUACAUUGUGGACCUUAAACUCUUUUAUAAAAUAAAUACAAAUUAUAAAACAAAAUCAAAGCAAAAAAGGAAAUGAUAGUGGCAACAUGAAUUUGUGUAAACUCUAAAUAUAGUUUUGGCUGAUAUAAGUGGCACAUUAUGAUUCUAUCAAACUCUAACUGACAACACAAAGAACUAUACAAAGAAUAUACUUCAACUAUUUUUCACUACAUACACAAAUUGGAAAACUAUCACAUUACACACACUUGACAAAAGAACCUUCACAAGUCAAUCAUCACUUUCCUUCAUAACAUCCACUCAAUUUAACUCUAAAUAAAUGCACGGGGUUCAUUAAAAAAAGUUAUAACAUAGAAGAAAAAUUGGUGACUGAAAAUUAAGUAAAAAAGAGAGACAUAUGAGGAGGCAUUAUUACACUUGAUAUUUCUUCUGGUAAGUGUGGACUCAGAGGAUGGAUGAGUUAUUGUGCUUGAAGAAGCCACAUUUUGAUGAUUGAAUUUUUUUCUUGAAAUUUGUGUGAAGUGGAAUGCUUUGAUGUAAAAUUGAAAUUGAGUGAGGUUUUUUAAAAAGGAAGGGUACCUUUUCUCGUACAUGUCUCUGUUGAUUCACUUGAUGUGUUUGAUACGAGGUCCCUAGAGCAUCACCAUCAUCACACCCCCUAAAGAUUUCUUGUAAUUCUACGUAGUCUUGGGUCUAUAUUAAUGCGUUUCCGCAAUUGAGUUUUUCGCCCAUGUUGUUGUAGUUGUUGGAGCACAAGGUUGAAGAUGAAUAUGAAGAUGGAAAAAGAGAGAGUAAUGAGAGAAAAAGGUUAUAACAAACUCUCAAAAUGGUGGAAGAAAAUUGUGUUGCUAUAUUCUAUUAAAAAACAAUUACAAUAGUUUCUUAAAUACACAACUCAAACCGUCAUGUAAGCAAAAUAACAAAUGCUAAAACUCAAAAGCUAAGUUAGGUUUUGAGUAGGCAACUUCUAAGUUGCGCUGAGUAAGAUUUCUGAAACAUGUACCUUCUGAACACUACACCUUUUGAAACAGCUUCUAACUACUGCUUCUGACUGACAAACUCAGAAUCUUCUAACUCAUACAAUAUUCUGAAUAAUUAAUUACUUCUAACAUCAUCCCUUAAUUCAUAUUCAACUAAUUAAAAUCUACAACACCAAUUUCAUCCCUCAAGUGGACAAAAUGUUCAUUCUUGAUAGCUUUAGUCAAAAUAUCUACAAGUUAAAGAGAUUGUUUUUCAUAGUAACUGAGAAACCUUUCUCAAUGAGUUGACCUACACUCAUUAGAUUGCUCUUCAUGCCAGGAACAUAUCAAACUUCCUUGAUCAGAUUUUUUUUACCAUUCUCCACCUUGACUUUGAAAUUUCCCAUACCUUAAAUGUUGAGGUAUUUAUCAUUAACAUAUUUGAUAUUUGUCCUCUUUCUAGAGUCAAAAUUAACCAUCCAUUAUUUGUUCCAGUUAGGUGAUUUAAGCAGCCAGUGUACAUAAACCACCAGUCUACCAAAUAUGCACCAUCAGAUUUAGAAGCCAUCAAUAACACAGGUUCAUCAUCAUAAUCUCCUCUGGCUAUGUUUGCUUCUUCUGAUUUCCUUUCCUUGUUUGAACAACAGUCAGCAGUAAAGUGGCCAAACUUUUUACAACAGUAACAUUAAACCUUCUUCUUAUCAAAUUUCUCCUUUCCCUUAUGAUGUUUCUUCUCAUCAUAAUUGAAGGCUUCUUACUUUUUAAAACCACCACCAUGUUGCUUCUUUCCCUCUGACCAAGACUGCUUCUCACUCUUCUUCCCAAAAGACGCCUUAAGAACUUGUUUUACCUCUCUUUCAAAGGUUCUCUUAGUCAAACGAAACUCUUGUGCCACUAGACUGCUCUGUAGCUCUUCAAUCCUCAUGGUGCUUAGGUCUUUAGAAUGUUAAAUUGCUACAAUAAUUUAAUCAAAUUGAGGAUUAAGAGAUCUUAGUACCUUCUAAAAUUAAGGACAAAGUCUAUCCAUAGAAUUUUAUCUCACUGGUGAUCAGAAUCACUCUAGAAAUGUAAUUAGGUAUCUUCUCAUUGUCCUUCAUGUUGAUAUUCUCAUACUGUUUACAUAGAGAAUGAAGCUUCACCUUCUUCACUGAUGCAUCACUGUCGUAUCACCAUACCAGUGUGUCCUACGCAACCUUCACCAUAGUUGAAUCAAUAAUUUUCUCAAACACUUUCGCAUCGACAAACUGAUGGGUGUAGACCAAUGCCUUUUGAUCUUUCUUACUCGUUUCUCUUUGCAUGUUUAUCUAUGCUUCCGUCAUAGCCGUCGCAACCAGAACAUAACCGUCGUUGACGAGAUCAAGAGUAUAUUGAGCGCCAAACAAGACACACAUCUCAAUGACCACUGAUUCCAAUUCUUUCCAUCAAACACGAGAGACUUUGUAUUCUAACUACCAUUUUCCCCGUUCAUCUUCAAUUUAUGCACUGAAACUCACACAGAUCUCACCAAACACCUAUGCUUCCUUGUGAAUCUUCUCCGUGAAUCAAACCAGACUUUAGUACCACUUAUUGAUGCACAAGGUUGAAGAUAUAGAUGAAGAUGGAAGAAGAGAGAGAAGAGAGAGAAAACAGUUAAAACAAACUCUCAAAAUGGUGAAGAAACUUUUGUUGCUAUAUUCUAUUGAAAAUUGAUUACAAGAGUUUCUUAAAUACACAACUUAAACUGCCAUGUAAGAAAAAGAACAAAUGCUAAAACUCAAGAGUUAUGUGAGGUUCUGAGUAGGCAACUUCUAAGCUACACUGAGUAAGGCUUCUAAAACAUGUAGCUUCUGAACACUACACCUUCUGAAAUAGCUUCUAACUAUUACUUCUGACUAACAGUCUCUAAAACUUCUGACUAAUACAAGAUUCUGAAUAAUAAAUUACAUCUAACAACCAUUGAAGGAAGUAGGGAAGAAGAUGAUGAAAGUCAACAGAGUCUCCAACGUUCCUAUCUUACCAUUGAAUUAGUUAAUUUUAUGGACCAAUGAAAUAUAGAGAACAAAAUUAAGAUAAAAGAAAUAUAAUAUAAAAUUUAUUGAUUUUUUAUUAGAAAAAUUAAUAGUAAAACAUAAGACAUAAGAUAUAUGUAUUUAAAAAAAUUGAUAUCAUAAAAAAAUAAUUUAAAUCACAAUUUCAUUAAAAUCAACUAAAAGUUCAAUAUUAUAAAAAGGAAAACAAAAAAUAUUUCAUAACAUCAAAAUAGUUUUUUAAUAUGAUAAAUAAAAAUAUAUCAUUUCAUAACAAUUGAAGAAAAUAUUUAUACUUGACCAAAGGUUCAUUUUAGCCAAAUAACACAAAAUUAUUUUAAUUAAAUCUAAUAUAUAAUUUUUUUAAUUGUUUGUCUUUUAUUUUUUAAAUUUGCUUUAUUUUUAUUUAAGAGGAUUAAUUUUCGUUAAAACUAAAAAUAUUUUCUUUAAUCUUUUAUAUUUGAUAUAUUUUAAGAAUUUGACUCAUAAUAUAAAUGUAUCUUAAGAAACAAAAUAAAAGAAUAGUUCAAAAAUAAUAAAAAAGACAAUUAUAACCUUCAUUUAAAAUUAAUUAGUUAAUUACACACACACACAUAUAUAUAUAUAUAUAUAUAAUCUAUUUUUCACCUAAAAUUAUUCUAUUUCAAUUUAUUACUUACAUACGUAUAAAUAAAACAAACAUAAGAGAAAUGCAUCAAAUAUUUAUAGAGAUUCGGCCUAACCACUUACCGUACUGUUUUUCCUAAGAAUUCAUUCUUGAGAAUUUUUACUAUAGUUGUGAGGUUUUCAUGGGUUAUGGCCAUGAAACUUCUUACAAACAGAAAAGAUUUUAUACGUGUUGUCCUCCAAACUAAACAUAAGAUUUUACAUCAAGAUAAUCUCGUAACUUUUACACCAGACACAACUCUCAAACCAAACAUAGAUUUUGACGGAUCAUCUCAUAAACCAAAUGAGAGCUUUUACACCAGGUAAAUCUCUCUAACAAAACAAAGAUUUUUUUGAAAAAUAUCGCAAACUAAAUGAGUUCUUUUAUUUGCUAAGACCAUAAACCAAAAAAUGGCUUCCACAAAAAAUAUAAAACAAUGCCCCAAAUACCAGAACACAGAAAAAACACCUCAUUGGUAUUUUCCAUUCUUAAAACACUAAGGCAUUGUUUAAGAGUUUAUAAAUGAGGGGGAGAGAGGGCUUCAAAGAUCCUUUUUUUUAAAUAUAGAGAAAUUUUUAAUAUUUUUUAUAGAAUUUUUUUUUGUAUAGAAUGAUAAAAUAAUGCUUAUCGCUAAUAUAUUUUUAAUUUUUGAAAUACCAUAACAACAAAAAUUAUAUUUGAACAAUUUGUCGAAACCUCUCAUCCAUUACAAUUUUUUAGUUCCCUCAAUUUAGGGAGAUUUUGGUUUUUGAAUAAAAAUAAAUCCCCCAAAAUCCUCCCCACCUAAAUCCUUCUAUUCUUUUCACUUAAUCCUUCCCUUUUUUCAAAGCCCUCCAUUUUCUUCCCCUUCAAACUCCCAAACAGAGUCUAAGACAAUUUAGUGAAAAGAAAGAAAUGAGAAGGAAGAUAGUAGAAAUUCAAAAAGUAUAUCAAAAUAUGUUUUCUUAUAUGUUUUGAAAGUGAGCAUGAGUCCUUUAUUUAUAGAUGAAAAUCUAACUCAAAAAGGAAAAUUAUCCAUGAGAUUUUUAAUACUCCUAAUUGAUUAUGCAUUAGGUCUUAUCGAUUAUGUGCUUCAUAAAAAUGACAACCUUAAUUCCCCAAAAGGAUUCAACACUUCAUUUGUGACUUGAUUUCUUUUAUUUGACGAGGCUUGAUAAAUCUUAUUGAUAGACGCCGCCAUUAGAGAGACUACUUAACUGAUCACUAUCAAAGAUUCCAUCGAACACUACUUGACAUUAGGUUUUGUCUUUAGCUUUAAUAUCUUGAUCUAUAAAGCAUAACAACUUGAUCAUUUGGAUCAACUUCGAACGGAGACUUCACAUCACAUUGUUGUCAUCAUCAAAACCAUUAAGGUCAAUUGAUUGUUGCAAAUGUUAUACAUGCAAGAACAUAGGUCCAUAUUCUCCCCAUAUUUGAUGAUGAUAACACAUCUUUCAAGGUGGUAGACAAACAAAGAAAUAAAUGUAGAGGCUUGGAGUGGUUAAACUCCCCUGAAAAAUAUUAAGAGUAUAUCAUACUUCCUUUAAGAGUAUACUUCUCCCUCUUUAUCAUUAUCAAAAAGAUAAGAAAGUUAAUAGGUAUGGGAACAAAACUAAACACAUAUCAUAUAGAAUCAAAAGUAAGAAAAUAAAUAGGGAUUCAAUUACCAAAACAUAUCAUCUUUAUUUAAACGGGGAACAUUACAAAAGGAAGGGUGCAACAUGCAUAAGGUAACGGAACUAGAGCUAAAGCUAUGAAAAAAGCAUUAGUCGUUAUAUUUAAGUAUUACUUUGAACUUUGAAUCAAGUCUCUUAGACAUACUUUCAUCUACAUGCAUAUCUCAGUUCCUUAGAAUACAUUGUUUUGGGAGCAGGGGAGAGGAGAAGAUUAUUAAUUUUAGGAUAUAACUUAUUAUCUCACUAAAAAGAAAAACUCUACUAUACUACUAGUCUACUAAUUAUCAUACAUCACAUUUCAAUCUUGUUUAUUUAUAACUGCUUUAGGAGCUGACUCAAGCUUGCUUCCUAUUCCAAGACAAAUGAGAUGGAUUUCCAAGUUGCCUACAAAGACAUAAAUGAAUUUUAAGUAGACAGAAAAAUUUGCAUAACAGAAUGAAGUUUGAUGGUGUAAUGCAAUAGGUGAUUUGUACCUUGGCUUCACAAAAUACCCAAUGGUAAAAAACAAUGACAAAAAUAAACAUACUCCUCCAACUGUGAGAAAUAGUAUGCCAAUCAAGUCAUUCUUCCCACCAAUCCAGGUAGCAGUUGACAGCACCAGCUUCUUCUUCCCAUUAAAACUGUAGGUGUUGUACUGAUUUUGAAUUGUUACGUUGAUGAUAUCACCUUCAUUCAGAUCCACCUCUAUUCUUCCAUAUAAUUUCCUAAAUGUUGGCAGGGCAGGG
rnacentral:lncRNA from 1 species